GCAGUUGUGGCGUAGUGGAUAAAGUGAUUGACUGGAGAUCAGAGGGUUGCUGUUUCGAUCCCCAGCUCCA